rnacentral:rRNA from 1 species
GCAGCUACCAUGCAAGUCGAGCGGUAACAGAUCCAGCUUGCUGGAUGCUGACGAGCGGCGGACGGGUGAGUAAUGCAUAGGAAUCUGCCCGAUAGUGGGGGAUAACCUGGGGAAACCCAGGCUAAUACCGCAUACGUCCUACGGGAGAAAGGGGGCUCCGGCUCCCGCUAUGGGAUGAGCCUAUGUCGGAUUAGCUAGUUGGUGAGGUAACGGCUCACCAAGGCCACGAUCCGUAGCUGGUCUGAGAGGAUGAUCAGCCACAUCGGGACUGAGACACGGCCCGAACUCCUACGGGAGGCAGCAGUGGGGAAUAUUGGACAAUGGGGGCAACCCUGAUCCAGCCAUGCCGCGUGUGUGAAGAAGGCCCUCGGGUUGUAAAGCACUUUCAGCGAGGAAGAACGCCUAGCGGUUAAUACCCGCUAGGAAAGACAUCACUCGCAGAAGAAGCACCGGCUAACUCCGUGCCAGCAGCCGCGGUAAUACGGAGGGUGCAAGCGUUAAUCGGAAUUACUGGGCGUAAAGCGCGCGUAGGUGGCUUGAUAAGCCGGUUGUGAAAGCCCCGGGCUCAACCUGGGAACGGCAUCCGGAACUGUCAAGCUAGAGUGCAGGAGAGGAAGGUAGAAUUCCCGGUGUAGCGGUGAAAUGCGUAGAGAUCGGGAGGAAUACCAGUGGCGAAGGCGGCCUUCUGGACUGACACUGACACUGAGGUGCGAAAGCGUGGGUAGCAAACAGGAUUAGAUACCCUGGUAGUCCACGCCGUAAACGAUGUCGACCAGCCGUUGGGUGCCUAGCGCACUUUGUGGCGAAGUUAACGCGAUAAGUCGACCGCCUGGGGAGUACGGGCCGCAAGGUUAAAACUCAAAUGAAUUGACGGGGGCCCGCACAAGCGGUGGAGCAUGUGGUUUAAUUCGAUGCAACGCGAAGAACCUUACCUACUCUUGACAUCCUG